UGCAGACAUCUCUAGCCCAGUGUGUACCCCGCCCCAAGAAAAACCACAAUCCCCUUCGCCUUUGAAGCCUCCAAGGCCCCAGACCGAACAAAUCCACCUAAUCUUCCUCUCUCUCUCUCUCUUUCUAAAGCCUUCUUUAUUUUCUUGCUUUGUCUUUUCUUCAUUUCACCCAGAAAGCUCUGGUCUUGAUCUUUACUUGUUUCUCGUUGUGUGUUGAGAUAUGGCUACAAAGAAGAGCGUUAGCAGUCUAAAUGACGCAGAUUUGAAGGGGAAGGGGGUGUUUGUGAGAGUGGAUCUCAACGUCCCUUUGGAUGAUAACUUCAAUAUCACUGAUGAUACCAGGAUCCGAGCUGCCGUUCCCACCAUCAAGUACUUGAUGGAUCAUGGCUCCAAAGUUAUUCUUUGCACCCAUUUGUUUUUGCUGGUGCAAAAUGUGGCUUUGAAAAUGGAUUUGUGCCAUGAUAUCUGUCAUAUAUUCAUAUUUGAUAUCUGGGAGAGGACACCUACAUUCAUACACAUGGUGUAUUUUCUUUGGUGUAAUUGUGGUAGUAAUUGGAUGGCAUUAAUCUGCUUAGUCAAUUAAUCAAGUAGAAGGAUCAGUUUGAAGGACUAAAAACAAAAAUCCUAAGUGUUUUUAGUACUGAAGAAAGGUGGGCAUCACAAAAUUUAUUUAUCUAAGCAUUUUUAAGUUUCUUUGUUGCUAUUGUUUCUUUUGAUGGCUUCAUUUGUCUAAAUGUGGAUAAGGCAGUGCUUAGCUAUCUGGGCCUUCCCAAUGAAAGCUCUUCUUGGACUUGUAAUAGUAGAAUUAUCAGUUCCUUUUGUCGGUUGUAAUAUGCAUCAUCUUUUUGUCUUUUUCUGCCAUGAGGAAAAUUUCCUCGUCUUCUAGGUUAUGUUAAUCUUGUUUUUUUCUAGGUUAUGUUAUUCUUGUUUUUUUUUUUUUUUAUUUUUUUUAUCAUUGUUAUGACUAUUGAUUGAAUUUACGUGAUCAAAAUUCAUGGAAUUGGUAAAUUAAGGUUAUAUUUUCCUUUGCUCAACCUCUAUUGGGGUGUAUAGUGUGAUAUUCCUUCUUCUCUUCUCCAUCGUUGUGAGACUGUAGUCCAUCUAGAUAUAUCAUACAUUUUUGUCAUAGACAUCAUUAAAUGAAAAGAUCAUGCCUGACCUCUGCAAUCCAUUUUGAUGGAAUAUUCAGUUUCUUUUUGAAAAUUGAGUUUUAACUUUCUUUGGCAAGAAUAUGAAUAUUUGUUAUAAAAAAAAAAUCCAGACUGGAGGUGUGCUACCUUAUGCUUGAAGUAAUGUUGCCAAGACGUAUGAGGUGAUAUGGGAUGCAUUAAAUUAUUCAAAAAUAAUUGGAAUUGAUAAAAGAUAUUCAUUUAUGUGGAAUAUUUGUUAUUAUUUUGAAAGUUGAACUAAAACCUGUUAUUUAAAAGGGUUAAGAUUUGAAGA